rnacentral:rRNA from 1 species
UUCCGGUUGAUCCCGCCGGACCUCACUGCUAUCGGGGUGGGACUAAAACAUGCAAGUCGAGCGCCCCCAAGCUAUGGUGAAGGCGCGGCAUACGGCUCAGUAACACGUGGCCAACCUACCCUUGGGACGGAGACAACCCCGGGAAACUGGGGCUAAUCCCCGAUAGGUAAGGAAUCCUGGAAUGGAUCUUUGCUGAAAGGGCGUCUAGACCAUGCUUCUUGACGUCGCCCAAGGAUGGAGCCGCGACCGAUCAGGUAGUUGGCGAGGCAACGGCUCACCAAGCCUAUAACCGGUACGGGCCGUGAGAGCGGGAGCCCGGAGAUGGGCACUGAGACAAGGGCCCAGGCCCUACGGGGCGCAGCAGUUGCGAAAACUCCGCAAUAUGCGAAAGCGUGACGGGGCUACCCCGAGUGCCGCCCGCUGAGGGCGGCUUUUCCACGGUGUAAGGAGCCGUGGGAAUAAGGAGAGGGCAAGACUGGUGUCAGCCGCCGCGGUAAUACCAGCUCUCCGAGUGGUGAGGACGAUUAUUGGGCUUAAAGCGUUCGUAGCCGGCUUAACAAGUCUUCCGUUAAAUCCAACGAUCUAAUCGUUGGGCCGCGGGAGAUACUGUUGGGCUAGGAGGCGGGAGAAGCCGACGGUAUUCUCGGGGUAGGGGUGAAAUCCUGUAAUCCCGGGAGGACCACCAGUGGCGAAGGCGGUCGGCUAGAACGCGCUCGACGGUGAGGGACGAAAGCUGGGGGAGCGAACCGGAUUAGAAACCCGGGUAGUCCCAGCUGUAAACGAUGCGGGCUAGGUGUUGGGGUGGCCACGAGCCACCUCAGUGCCGCAUGGAAGCAAUUAAGCCCGCCGCCUGGGGAGUACGGCCGCAAGGCUGAAACUUAAAGGAAUUGG